AGGAGUUGUUGGCCAGAAACUAGCCAAACAUCUGGCGAUUUUGCAAAAGGCAACAAGUGAUGUUAACCUUAAAAGGGAAGCAAUCCUCAAGGCACUUUUCAUCCACCUUGGUGAGGAUGAUGGACAUCUCAUUCGGGAGUAUAUGGACAUCGGAGGAGAUGACGUCACCAGAGACCUGCAGAAAU